rnacentral:rRNA from 1 species
UACAGAGGGUGCGAGCGUUGUUCGGAAUUACUGGGCGUAAAGCGUGCGUAGGUGGUGUGUUAAGUCUGCCGGUCAAAUGCCGAGGCUCAACCUCGUUGCACGCCGGGGAUACUGGCACGCUAGAGACAAGUAGAGGCAAGCGGAAUUCCGGGUGUAGCGGUGGAAUGCGUAGAGAUCCGGAAGAACACCGGAGGCGAAGGCGGCUUGCUGGGCUUGGUCUGACGCUGAGGCGCGAAAGCGUGGGGAGCGAACAGG